rnacentral:rRNA from 1 species
CACCAGGUCAGGACACGGUAAGGAUUGACGGACUGAAGGCUCUUUCUCGAUUCCGUGGAAAGUGGUGCAUGGCCGUUUUGGUGGUGGAUCGAUCCGUCUGGUUAAUUCCGUUAACGAACGAGACCUCGGCACUCCGAAUAGCGCGGCGGACGUCGCGGCCUCCGGGCCGUCUUCCGCACGAGCUUCUUAGAGGGGACCGUCCCCCGCCGGGGAAGGAGGUGCGAGGCAACGACAGGUCUGUGAUGCCCUUAGAUGUUCUGGGCCGCACGCGCAUUACACUGACGCGUCCAACGGGUGACUCCCGACCCGAAGGGGCCGGGGAAUCCGCAAGGCGCGUCGUGAUGGGGAUUGAACGUUGCAAUUGUUGUUCACGAACGAGGAAUUCCUAGUAGGCGCGGGUCAUCAACCCGCGCCGAUUACGUCCCUGCCC